UACGUAGGCAGCAAGCGUUGUUCGGAAUUACUGGGCGUAAAGAGUGUGUAGGCGGUGCUCUAAGUUCGUUGUGAAAUCUCCCGGCUUAACUGGGAGGGUGCGGCGGAAACUGGAGUGCUUGAGCGCGGGAGGGGAAAGCGGAAUUCCUGGUGUAGCGGUGAAAUGCGUAGAUAUCAGGAGGAACACCUGUGGUGUAGACGGCUUUCUGGACCGUAGCUGACGCUGAGACACGAAAGCGUGGGUAGCAAACAGG
rnacentral:rRNA from 1 species